rnacentral:lncRNA from 1 species
UUCUUUCUCACUCACUCACUAGUCUUGUUUUGUUUUGUUAGGUUGAGACUUGAGAAUUACAUAUUAAGAUUUUUCUUAAUUUCUUUGUCUAUUUCUAACAAAAAACACAUACGAGGUUUUCUUUACUUUAUGAUCAAGUAGAAAAAAAGAAAAAAAAAAUCUGUCCCGGUUCCCAAUGCAGAACCCCUGGUUCUCCAAUGGCCGUGCUUCCGCCUUGAAUCCAAGCGUUCCCACUGCUGGUGGUAACCUCAGCCCUUCUCCCCCAGUUCCCCCAGACCCUCCUGAUCCCUCUCUCCCCCACUGUUCCCUUUCCUCGUUUCCCCCUCUGUCUCCUAAGCCCCAAUCUCUGCAAGUGUCUUCUCUCCAAACUGCUCCUCCUGUAGGGCCUGGUGUGAAGUCUUCAGACUUGGUUGUUGCCUCAAACUCUACUACUACUGAUGUUGUGAUGCAUCCAGUUGACGAAAUCGCUACUCCUCCAGUAGAUCUUGGUGUGUUAAACCCUAGAUCUACAAUCACUGUUCAAGCCAUGAACAAAAGUACUGCCCCUGCGAAAUUCACUGUUUUAACUCCCAAAUCCUCUUCUCCUUUACUCACCAAUAAAGCGUCGACCUCUUCAUUCCCCCCAAACCCACCACAAACAGCCUUCCCACUUCCAAAUAAACCCUCCCAAACCCAAAAACUAGCCUCCCCAAAAACUGGAUCUCUAUCCUCUUCUUUACCUACCCCACCCCAAGGACAAACAUCAAUUGUCCAAGCAGAACAACUUCCUUCUGUUACUCCGAUUGAAAAUCCUAAAGCUCCUGGUUCGACCCCCAGUGUUCCUGGACCAGCUGCUCCUUCUACCAGCCUCCCUCAAGCCACAGGAAAGAAAACCCUGGUUGAGCGGCUGAGGAAGAAUGUGAAUAGAACAUUACAAAGAUUAGCCCCUGUAUCUUUAUCUAACUCUGGAAGGCCAUGUGUUCACAUCCCUGAUGCAGUCUUUCACAGAGGAGCUGAGCUUCACAAGGACUUCAUAAUCUGUUUCUUCAAUGGCAGGCCACCCCUCUACCAUCAGAUUCAGAGUGUCCUUAAUCAUAUUUGGGGUAAAGGCCAGCGUUUGGAGAUCCAUGUCAACCACUCAACAAGAUCCAUGCUUGUCAGAAUCCCAAAUGAGUACAUUAGGCAGAAAGUCCUUGAAAGAUGCAUUUGGUAUAUAGGGGACUCCAUGUUCCACACCACCUCCUGGUCCGCCAAUUACUCCUCUGACACUCCUGUACUUGACUCAAUCCCAAUAUGGAUACAUAUGCUCAACAUUCCUCUUGACCUGAGAACCAUUGAAGGAAUCAGUCUCAUCUCAGGGUUAGUAGGAGAGCCUGUAGAAACUGAUGAUUUUACUAUUAAUUUAGUGAGUUUGAAAGUUUCUCAUGCAAAGGUAAUUGUCGAUCUUACAAAGCCCUUACCUGCUGUUGUGGAAUAUACUAGAGAUAAUGGUCAGAUUGUUGAGGUUGAAGUGGAAUAUCCUUGGUUGCCUCCCACUUGCUCACAUUGUAAAGAGUUAGGCCACAUUGUUAAGAACUGCCUGCAACUCCCACCUCACUCUGAUCUUCCGCCUAAAGAUGAUGUUCCUGCAAAGACAGACAAAGCUACCUCUACUGCUGAUAGCUCAAAAGACAAGGGAGAGCAAUCUGUGCCUCUCUCUUCUACCAUUUUUAUUCCUGUGAAAAGGAAAAAGAAUGAUAUCAAGGCCACAAAUGUUUCAAAACCCUCUACUUCCCAAACCCCCUCAAAGCCCCCCUCAUCUUCCACAAACCUUUUUGCACCAUUAUCCCAUCCAACCCCCUCUUUAAAUACUCCUCCCCCAAAACAGUCUAAUCUCACAAAAAACCCCACAAAAAACCCCACUAAAUCAGUUAUUAUCCCUUCCCAACCCUCUGCUAACUCUGUCCCACAAACCCCUGCCACCAUAAACUCCCUUUCUCCUGCACCCAAGACCACCAUUGUCUCUCCAGUGGUCCCCACUCACAUUAAACAGCUGCCAGUUGUUGUUGGACUUCCUGCCUCUAUUACUCCCUCUGGCCUCCCAUACCCCCACUCUCCUCCCCCUGAUCAAAGGCUUAAUUCAUCUCUUAAAAGAUCCCGUUCUCACCCCACCCUUUCUGAUUCUCCCCCUCUUUAUUUGGACCCCCAUCCACCCCUUUUGACCCCCUUUGUUACUGAACCAGUCACUUUUUUGUCCCCUUCUCUUGUCCCUGAACCUGCUAAGGAUGGUUCUGUGCCUCCUUUGGUUGAUCCCCCCCCUCUAUCCUAAUGGAUACAAAAAACUUUUUUUGGAACUUCCGUGGCCUAAAUGACCCGGAUAAGCAUCAGCCCUUAAAUAAAUGGCUUAGUAGCUAUCAACCACUUUUUGGCGCACUUUUGGAAACGCAUAUAAAGGAUCUUAGUUUGAACCAGAUUAUGAAUAAAGCAUGUCGUGGAUGGAAUUUUACUUCCAAUCAUUUGUCGGAUGAAGAUGGUAGAAUCGUUAUCAUAUGGAAGGAUCCGGCCUCAGUUCGAGUGUUGCACCAGUCCAAGCAGUCUCUAACCUGUGAAGUAAAUAUUGCCAACAAACUUAAGUUUGUGUUCACUGCGGUGUAUGCAUCUAAUCUAAGAGAGGAAAGAACUGACCUUUGGGUGGAACUUCUCAACCUCCAGCAAUCUUUCUCGUUAGAUUCUUGUCCCUGGCUUGUUGGGGGUGACUUUAAUCAGAUUGUCCAUUAUGGGGAACAUUCCUCGCCCACAGUCAAUUCCAUCACUCCCCCAAUGGUUGAGCUGUCAGACUGCCUUUCUCAGUUGGAGUUGUUUGACUUGAGAUCUCAGGGGCCAACCUUUACGUGGAGUAACAACCAGCCUCUAUCCCCUGUUGCAAAGAAGCUUGAUCGUGUAUUGGUGAACCAUCACUGGAUCUCUUUAUUUCCAGACAGCACUGCCACCUUUUUACCUCCGUUUCCCUCUGACCAUGCCCCAAGCCUUGUAAACCUUGCUUAUCAACUCCCGAGAGCUGGUACCAGACCUUUCAAGUUCUUUAACUACCUUACCAAACACCCAAACUUCCUUCAGUUAGUGGAUGAAGCCUGGAUUCAAGCCGGAAGCUUUGCUUCAAAUCUCACAGACCUGUGUUGGAAGCAAAAGGCUAUUAAAGGAGAACUAAAACACUUAAAUAGAGAGCACUUUUCAGACAUUCAAAUGAGAGUUAGUGAGGCUAACCGUUUGUUAUUGGAUGUACAGGUACAAGCUCUGGCAAGCCCAUCACCUACCAUCUUUCAGCUGGAGAGAGACACUCAUGAUAAGUGGCACUUUCUAAGGAGUAUUGAGGAGAGUUACUUUAAGCAAAAGUCAAGAAUAAAUUGGCUUAAAGAGGGAGACCUGAAUACCUCUUAUUUCCACAAGAUCUGCCAGUCGAGAGCAAGUUAUAACACUAUUCGCUCGUUUCUGUUGGACUCUGGUGCUCUGCUAACGGAUCCUGUGCUUAUGAGCACUCAUGCAAUCACCCACUUUAAGUCUAUCUUAGCUCCUGAUCAUCUUGCUCCUCCUGCUCAGUGGUCUUCUCUUCAAUGGUUCCAAGAGUUAAACCCUUUCAGAUGUCCACCAUCCCAGUCCAGAGCUAUGUUACUUAUACCGGCUCACUCUGAAAUAGCAAGAAUACUAUUCAAACUCAACCCUAACAAGGCCCCUGGACCGGAUGGAUUAACUUCUGGAUUCUAUAAAGCAACUUGGGGAAUCUUAGGCGAUGAAGUGGUUACCUCUAUCAGUCGCUUCUUCCUCACCUCUUUCAUGCCAGCCUCCACAAAUGCCACCAUCCUCACUUUGGUGCCCAAACAUUCUGGUGCCUCUAGAAUUGUUGACUACCGUCCCAUAUCCUGUCUCAAUACUCUCUACAAAGUUGUCUCCAAGCUCCUGGUUGCUAAGCUCAAGCCAAUUCUCCCCUCUCUCAUCCUACCAAAUCAAACGGCCUUUGUUCAAGACAGACUACUCCUUGAGAACACCAUCCUUGCUGCUGAGAUUGUUAACGGAUACCAUAAAAACCAGGGCCCCAAGAGAGUGGUUAUUAAGGUUGACAUUGCAAAAGCUUUUGACACGGUUUCUUGGGAUUUCCUCUUCCAGUGCCUCCGGGGUCUUGAACUUCCUGAGUUGUUCCUCAACUGGCUCCAUGCUUGUGUCUGUUCACCAAGUUUCAUGGUUGGUUAUAAUGGUACAGUUCAAGGUUAUUUCAAAGGUAAAAGAGGUCUUAGGCAGGGAGACCCUCUUUCCCCUUACCUUUUUGUAAUAGCUAUGAACACCUUAUCUCUAAUGCUUAAUAAAGCUGCAGAAGAGGGAAGGUUCAAGUAUCAUCACAACUGUGAUAAGGCCAAACUCACUCACCUCUGUUUUGCGGAUGAUCUUCUCAUCUUCUUGGACGGUUCCCUCAGUUCUGUUCAGGCUGUCCUCCAUGUUCUGAAAGAGUUUGAGGAAAGAUCAGGCCUUGCCAUCAGCAUUCAUAAGUCUUCCUACUUUGCUGGAGGGCUAUCAGAUGAGGAAACAAACCUCAUUACUACAGUGACUGGACUCCCACUUGGUUGUCUCCCGGUUCGCUAUCUAGGAGUCCCUCUAUGCACAAAAAAGCUAAACAUUCAAGACUGUGAACCUCUACUGCAACAAGUCAAAGGAAAAAUCAAUAGUUGGACUACUAAAUACCUAUCUUUUGCAGGGCGAUUGCUGCUAAUCAACACGGUUAUUGCAGGAAUCACAAACUUCUGGUGCUCCUCUUUUGUCCUGCCUAAGCUCUGCAUUCAAAAGAUAAACUCAAUCUGUAGUGCCUUCCUAUGGAAAGGAAAUCUAGAAGGACAUCACUCUGCUAGAGUUUCUUGGGAGAAGAUUUCAAAGCCAAAGACCCAGGGAGGAUUGGGAAUUAAAGACCUCACCAGCUGGAAUAGGGCUUGCUCCAUAAGACUCAUCUGGCUUCUUUUCUUUAGAUCGGGAUCUGUUUGGGUAGCUUGGUACAAGGAACACUUCCUGCGUGGGUCUUUGAACAACUUUUGGACUAUGAAACAAAGACCAGUUUACUCAUGGUUAGCAAAUAAAUUGUUGAAAAUCAGAGACGUGUGCUAUAAUUGGAUAAAGAUGCGGGUUGGGAAUGGUCUUACUUGUAGGUUCUGGACGGACAACUGGUCUCCUUUUGGACGGCUCUCGACCUUCCUCUCCGAUACUGCAACCUCAAGACUUGGAAUUCGCCAACAGUCUACUCUUUCUCAGCUGUACAACCGGGGCACAUGGAUGCUACCAAACCCCAGAUCAGAUACUCAACUAUCUCUCCAUAUCUUCCUCACUACGCUAUCCUUAUCUAACUUUGAUGACCACUACGAAUGGGAACUAGAUGGGAAGACCUAUACACGCUACUCUACUGGGCAAGUCUAUCGAGCUAUCACUAUGCAAUCGCCUUUGGUUCCUUGGAGAGAAGUCGUCUGGUUCUCCGGGAGCAUUCCAAAACACAGUUUCCUCACUUGGCUUUUGGUUCAGAAUCGGUGUCCCACACGAGAUCGUAUCCUGGGAUGGGGGCUUCAAACGGAUCCAUUAUGCCUCCUCUGUGGCUCUUCACCUGAGUCUAGGGACCAUAUCUGGUUUGACUGCGGAUUCGCUUGGUCCAUCUGGGAAAACAUAGCAAGUCGAUGUGGGAUCUCUCCCCUGAGAUCUUGGGAGGCAUCGCUACACCAUUUGCAGGGGAUGAACGGGGAUAAAGCUCGCCGGCGAUUAACCCUUCUUGCUUGGCAGUGUUCCCUUUACUUGAUUUGGGCGGAGAGGAACAAUCGACUCCACCGUUGCUCUUUCCGAUCAGUGGAUGAUCUCCUCCGACAAAUUGAUACAACUAUCAGAAAUCGGAUUGCCUCGUACAGAGAUUCGAAUUCUUCUAUUGCUUCGCUUAUGCUGCAACAUUGGUUCUCCUCUGCUUGAUCUUCCGACAUUUGUCGUCUACUAUUCCAUCAACUAGGGCAUGCUACUUUCUCUAGGUUCAACUUAAGAUCCAUUUGUGUUUGUUUUGUGCUAUUCGGGCUAGGCCCACAUCAAAAAACUACUAAGGCUGGGCUUUUGUAAUCUUUUUCUUUUCUUUUUGCAAUUAAUAGAAAGCCUGUUACAAAAAAAAAGGUUUUCUUUACUUUAUUUCUAUCCCUUCAAAUUUUAAAAUCUUCAAAUAACAAAAAAAAUACUUUAAAAUCUUCAAUAUUUCUAUUCUUGUUUUGACUAAUUUUAUAAUUUUUUGUUUUGUUUGAAACUAAUAGUAUGUCAUCAACAUAUCUUAAAACCUU